rnacentral:lncRNA from 1 species
CACUUGUCUCAUCUUUCUACCAUCAAUCAUCAACCUCUGUGAAGGAUUUGCCAUUAGUCAAUGCAAUGGCACCAUGGAUGAAUGCUCAACGUUAAUGGAGGAGGAUGAAGAGUUCUUAAUGGACACUGAAGAACAUAGGCGGAUUCUGACUGGAAAUACGAAUAUUAUUUAUAAAAGUCUACAAAAACCUCCCAUUUGCGACCCAAAACACUGUGAAGGAUUGUAUAAUGUAAGGAAAGAUAGGGGGUGUGUUAAUUACUGCAAUAAAGGAGGUUAAUGAGUGGUUCAUAUAAUCAUAUGUAUGUAUCCUUUGCUAUUAUGGAAAAGUAUUUGAAGUUUGUGGUGUAAGAUUGUGUUUCUUGUUGAUCACUAAUAGCUUUCUUAUAAUAAUCUGUUUAUGUAUUCAUUAGAUUUACUAAUUGAUGUGAAAAAAUAGAAUGAACUAAUGUGUUUAUGCAAAACUAUUUAUUCAUUUGUUUCAAUUCUAUACCUUUACUUGUGCUUUUUGCAAGAACUUGAAUUUUGCUACUUUUGUUUGGUUUUUGUGUGUGGAAGAGAUUUGCUAAUCCUCGUUUGUUCCCAAAGUAGAUGGCUUUUGAAUAUUGGUGUGAAAGAGAUUAAGACGGUGUUUGUUUUUUUUUUUUUUGUAAAAGUUCGACCUCUUAUCUUUGGGCCGCAACAGACAACGUGUAGAUGUUUGGUCCUGCAGACUGUUUAUUUUUUAGAAGACUGCGGACAUAAAAUGCCUUUUUAAAGAAAAAAAAAAAAUCUCAUGUUACCAUUACCAUACUAUCAAACCACUAUUGGUUGUAAUUUUCUUUUUCGGUUCUUUUGCCAUAUUCAUUGUAAUAUGUUUAUUUAAGAAUAAGACAAAAUUACAUAAAUGGUCUUAAUGGUUAACAAAACAACCAAUUAUAGUCCUUAUGAUGAAUUCUUUACAUAAAUGGUCCUUACGGUUUCAAAAUCUUGUAAAGAUGGUCCUUUGGGCCAACGGUGUUAACUUUUCAGUUAAGUUCUUUGUGAAAUAACAUAUUCGCC